AGUGAACGCUGGCGGCAGGCCUAACACAUGCAAGUCGAACGGCAGCACAGAGGAGCUUGCUCCUUGGGUGGCGAGUGGCGGACGGGUGAGGAAUACAUCGGAAUCUGCCUUAUCGUGGGGGAUAACGUAGGGAAACUUACGCUAAUACCGCAUACGACCUACGGUGAAAGCGGAGGACCUUCGGGCUUCGCGCGAUAAGAUGAGCCGAUGUCGGAUUAGCUAGUGGCGGGGUAAAGGCCCACCAAGGCGACGAUCCGUAGCUGGUCUGAGAGGAUGAUCAGCCACACUGGAACUGAGACACGGUCCAGACUCCUACGGGAGGCAGCAGUGGGGAAUAUUGGACAAUGGGCGCAAGCCUGAUCCAGCCAUGCCGCGUGUGUGAAGAAGGCC
rnacentral:rRNA from 1 species